GGAUGAACGCUGGCGGCGUGCCUAAUACAUGCAAGUCGAGCGAACAGAUAAGGAGCUUGCUCCUUUGACGUUAGCGGCGGACGGGUGAGUAACACGUGGGUAACCUACCUAUAAGACUGGAAUAACUCCGGGAAACCGGGGCUAAUGCCGGAUAAUAUUUAGAACCGCAUGGUUCUAAAGUGAAAGAUGGUUUUGCUAUCACUUAUAGAUGGACCCGCGCCGUAUUAGCUAGUUGGUGGGGUAAUGGCUUACCAAGGCAACGAUACGUAGCCGACCUGAGAGGGUGAUCGGCCACACUGGAACUGAGACACGGUCCAGACUCCUACGGGAGGCAGCAGUAGGGAAUCUUCCGCAAUGGGCGAAAGCCUGACGGAGCAACGCCGCGUGAGUGAUGAAGGUCUUCGGAUCGUAAAACUCUGUUAUUAGGGAAGAACAAAUGUGUAAGUAACUGUGCACGUCUUGACGGUACCUAAUCAGAAAGCCACGGCUAACUACGUGCCAGCAGCCGCGGUAAUACGU
rnacentral:rRNA from 1 species